rnacentral:rRNA from 1 species
GACGAACGCUGGCGGCGUGCUUAACACAUGCAAGUCGAACGGAAAGGCCCUGCUUGCAGGGUGCUCGAGUGGCGAACGGGUGAGUAACACGUGGGUGAUCUGCCCCUUACUUUGGGAUAAGCCUGGGAAACUGGGUCUAAUACUGGAUAGGACCAUGCUGUAGGUGGUGUGGUGGAAAGAUUAGUUUCGGUAAGGGAUGAGCUCGCGGCCUAUCAGCUUGCUGGUGGGGUAAUGGCCUACCAAGGCGUCGACGGGUAGCCGGCCUGAGAGGGUGGACGGCCACAUUGGGACUGAGAUACGGCCCAGACUCCUACGGGAGGCAGCAGUGGGGAAUAUUGCACAAUGGGCGCAAGCCUGAUGCAGCGACGCCGCGUGGGGGAUGACGGCCUUCGGGUUGUAAACUCCUUUCAGCCAUGACGAAGCCCUUGUGGUGACGGUAGUGGUAGAAGAAGCACCGGCUAACUACGUG